CAUGCAGUCGACCGCUUGCUUUCGUCCCGAGUGCUUGCACUCAAUUGGAAAGAGGAGUGGCGGACGGGUGAGUAACACGUGGGUAACCUACCCAUCAGAGGGGGAUAACACUUGGAAACAGGUGCUAAUACCGCAUAACAGUUUAUGCCGCAUGGCAUAAGAGUGAAAGGCGCUUUCGGGUGUCGCUGAUGGAUGGACCCGCGGUGCAUUAGCUAGUUGGUGAGGUAACGGCUCACCAAGGCCACGAUGCAUAGCCGACCUGAGAGGGUGAUCGGCCACACUGGGACUGAGACACGGCCCAGACUCCUACGGGAGGCAGCAGUAGGGAAUCUUCGGCAAUGGACGAAAGUCUGACCGAGCAACGCCGCGUGAGUGAAGAAGGUUUUCGGAUCGUAAAACUCUGUUGUUAGACAAGAACCAGGACGUUAGUAACUGAACGUCCCCUGACGGUAUCUAACCAGAAAGCCACGGCUAACUACG
rnacentral:rRNA from 1 species